UAAUGAUGGUGAGGAAAAUUUCUAAGCAUACCCUUAAAUCGCUCCUAAGCUUGGUAGAGAUUCUCUCCUUUUUUUUGUCAGAAACUCAAAAUCUCACUUCUCAAAUG
rfam:Capsicum annuum cultivar Zunla-1 chromosome 9, whole genome shotgun sequence